rnacentral:rRNA from 1 species
ACCUUACCUGGUCUUGACAUCCACAGAACUUGGCAGAGAUGCCUUGGUGCCUUCGGGAACUGUGAGACAGGUGCUGCAUGGCUGUCGUCAGCUCGUGUUGUGAAAUGUUGGGUUAAGUCCCGCAACGAGCGCAACCCUUAUCCUUUGUUGCCAGCGGUCCGGCCGGGAACUCAAAGGAGACUGCCAGUGAUAAACUGGAGGAAGGUGGGGAUGACGUCAAGUCAUCAUGGCCCUUACGACCAGGGCUACACACGUGCUACAAUGGCGCAUACAAAGAGAAGCGACCUCGCGAGAGCAAGCGGACCUCAUAAAGUGGUCCUAGUCCGGAUUGGAGUCUGCAACUCGACUCCAUGAAGUCGGAAUCGCUAGUAAUCGU